rnacentral:rRNA from 1 species
UCGGGAAUUUUGGGCAAUGGGCGAAAGCCUGACCCAGCAACGCCGCGUGAAGGAUGAGGUAUUUCGGUAUGUAAACUUCGAAAGAAUAGGAAGAAUAAAUGACGGUACUAUUUAUAAGGUCCGGCUAACUACGUGCCAGCAGCCGCGGUAAUACGUAGGGACCAAGCGUUGUUCGGAUUUACUGGGCGUAAAGGGCGCGUAGGCGGCAAUUCAAGUCAUCUGUGAAAUCUCCGGGCUUAACUCGGAACGGUCAGAUGAUACUGCUUUGCUAGAGUGCAGAAGGGGCAAUCGGAAUUCUUGGUGUAGCGGUGAAAUGCGUAGAUAUCAAGAGGAACACCUGAGGUGAAGACGGGUUGCUGGGCUGACACUGACGCUGAGGCGCGAAAGCCAGGGGAGCAAACGGGAUUAGAUACCCCAGUAGUCCCUGAGCGGGCUGGCAAGGCGCAU